rnacentral:rRNA from 1 species
UACGUAGGGGGCGAGCGUUGUUCGGAUUUACUGGGCGUAAAGGGCGCGUAGGCGGCCACGACAAGUCACUUGUGAAAUCUCCGGGCUUAACUCGGAACGGUCAAGUGAUACUGUCGGGCUAGAGUACAGAAGGGGCAACUGGAAUUCUCGGUGUAGCGGUGAAAUGCGUAGAUAUCGAGAGGAACACCUGCGGCGAAGGCGGGUUGCUGGGCUGAUACUGACGCUGAUGCGCGAAAGCCAGGGGAGCGAACGGG